GUGUGUGUGUGUGUGUGUGUGUGUUCAGUUUAUUUUCUUAUCUUCAGUCACCUCAUGCUCAGAUGGUUGACAUCCAGACAUGUCUGAGUCAGGUAUGAUGUGUGUGUGUGUGUUGUGUUGUGUUGUGUUGCUUCAGUGGGAAAGUUUGACCGUUAACAGUGUGUUGCUCAUAAAGAGUAACUCAGCCUGUGAUGUAAAAUAAACCGUCCACAGCUCCUGUUAACUACCGUGUGAAACAGCCCGACCACAAGGCCCCAUCAAAGAGGAGACGGGUGGGCGAUGGACCCCUUCAUGCUGGUGCUGCUGCAGGACGAGGACCUGGGCCUGUUGGAUCCAGUUCAUUCUUCAGCUUCUUCUGGUUUAAAACAUAAAACACUUUCGGCCGACGAGUAAAAACUCGCUCAACAGGAUCCAAACACCAAGACUUUCUCCACGCUUCCAGCUCCCGCCCAAAACCCACCAGGCUUCCAAGAAACACAGAGGAGGUUUUAAUGUGGAAAGUUACGAGAUGUUUCCAGCUCCUCAUCUUCCUGCAGCAGGAACCGGAGGGACCGUCCAGGAYGCUGGUUUCAACACGGAGGCCUUAAAGCUCCGUCAGCCUCCAUCUGUGACGCAGAAACUGUUUGAAAUGAACGAUUACUUCAGAACAAGCUUGUGCAGGGUGAGCGGAAAUAAGAGUGGGCGGAGCUUUCCUGAAAAAAAAAAUCACA